UGCCUCUCCUCAAGGGCUUCUGGAGUCCCCAAGUCAAAUGGCAAAUGGGGAAGAGAAGACAGGGUAUGGAGUACAAGAGGCCUAGAUCCUCUAUAGGUCUGAUCUGGCUGGUGCUGCCCCUAGCCAGUAAAGCCACCCUCCAGACCCCUUCAAGCCUGUUGUAGCCUUAACCAAGAUCAACCAACAUGGAGGUGACUGAUCUUGGUUAAGGCUGCGACCAACAUGGAGGUAAUUGAUCUUGGUUAAGGCUACGACACGUUUCCCUUUAGAGAAAAAUCAUGUUUUCCCCCUCAAAAAAUCAUGCGUUAAUUUCCUCCAACCAAACUAAGUCCCAGGACUACUCCGAAAACUACUCAAUGACCAUCUGGGCAUUUGUACAUGGGUUUCCAUUUCUUGGAUGCCUGCUCUCCUGUUACCUCCCAG
rnacentral:lncRNA from 10 species